rnacentral:rRNA from 1 species
UACGUAGGGGGCGAGCGUUGUCCGGAAUCAUUGGGCGUAAAGAGCGUGUAGGCGGCCCGGUAAGUCCGCUGUGAAAGUCCAGGGCUCAACCCUGGGAUGCCGGUGGAUACUGUCGGGCUCGAGUCCGGAAGAGGAGUGUGGAAUUCCUGGUGUAGCGGUGAAAUGCGCAGAUAUCAGGAGGAACACCGGUGGCGAAGGCGGGUCUCUGGGCAGUAACUGACGCUGAGGAGCGAAAGCGUGGGGAGCGAACAGG